GCCCAAGAGAUCGGGAUAACACCUGGAAGCAGAUGCUAAUACCGGAUAACAACAGAUGAUGCCUAUCAACUGUUUAAAAGAUGGUUCUGCUAUCACUCUUGGAUGGACCUGCGGUGCAUUAGCUAGUUGGUAGGGUAACGGCCUACCAAGGCGAUGAUGCAUAGCCGAGUUGAGAGACUGAUCGGCCACAUUGGGACUGAGACACGGCCCAAACUCCUACGGGAGGCAGCAGCC
rnacentral:rRNA from 1 species